rnacentral:rRNA from 6 species
CUUUCAACAACGGAUCUCUUGGCUCUCGCAUCGAUGAAGAACGCAGCGAAAUGCGAUACGUAAUGUGAAUUGCAGAAUUCAGUGAAUCAUCGAAUCUUUGAACGCACCUUGCGCCCCUUGGCAUUCCGAGGGGCACACCCGUUUGA